GGGGAUGUGGCUUAGUGGUAGAGAAUUUGCUUAGUGCACAGAAGGUCCUGGGUUCAAUUCCCAGCAUUCUUC
rnacentral:tRNA from 1 species